rnacentral:lncRNA from 1 species
CCUGUGGUUGGAAUUAUUUGGUCGAGAUCAUGUUGCUAAAGAAAUCUUUAGAUCUCAUGAAUGCAUAAGAACAUCAAGUUCCUUCCAGAAUAAAGAUCACAGAAGGACUUUGUGCAAAAACAAGUACAGUCCUACUGUAGCAGCAGUAUUUUACUUGACAUGACCAGUGCAGAAGAGUACUAAGAGUCCCAGUGAUGGAGCCACAGUUUUUCUGAAUCCGGACUUGUUUGGAUGUUUUGAUAGAGAAAAUGAAAUUGUCACAUGGUUGCUGAUUACAUAGUGAGUGAAUUGUUUCUAACUACGUGUGCUCGGGGAGAUAGACUCAGCAGCUGGGAAAUCCCCAGCAUGUGACUGGUACAGCUGUGUCUGAUAGCCUGAUUAAGCCUUACUGCGGACCUGAGGAUUUCACCGGGUUGCAUCUGUACCUGUGGGUGUCUGCCUGUUGCAGCAUUCAAGAAACUGCCAAAUGUCUUUCAGUUUGCAUCAGCUUUUGAGUGCCUGAGCUCCUUGAGCUGUGCUAAUCUUUUGCUGAUAAAGCAAUGAGGAAAUAGAGUCCCAAGUGCAGGGAGGAAGAAUUUUUCUCUUCAAGGGUGACUAUGGUAUCUUGAAGUCAUCUGCAUAGGUGCCAUGCUGCUAAAGGGCAUAAAUAAAUGCUUAGGAAAAGCAGAAGCUGGGACUUCUGCUUUUCUUCAGGCUAUUUUUAUGCUUAUCCAUCUGCAUCUUGUUCCUGUGUUUUCUCCCCCUGUGGCAUCUUGUCAGCAAUCGGGAUGGAAUAGGUGUAGAAAGAGAGAAACUCUGGAGAAACCAAGUACCAACUUCAGUCAACAUCACUUCACCCCCCAACAGAGCCUUAAUCUGAAGGACUUUCCAUCUCCAGAGUACAGCAAUUAGGUAAGAUUUAAUGAUUUUUAUGAGCCCAGAAAGAUGACAAGGUGUCAUUGUGUAAAGGAAAAAUCUGCAUUCAGGCUGGAGUUGUGCAAUUACGCUGUUAACUCUUGGGGGGGGGGGGGAGGAAAUCAUUAAGGAAGGAGCCACUGCUGACUAGUGAUUACAGCUCAGAGUAAUCCAGGUUUGCUUGUUCAACCACGAGCACUCAUUGCCCAGUGGCCAUCAGGACAGAUCACUGCUUUAUUACCAAGUUUUUAUCUGACAAGACCAAGUCAUUGCUACAGUGUUCUUCCAGCAUCUAACAGACUGGUUCUUAAAAUGGACGCUAUUUUUUUGGUCUGCCGUCUGACUGUUGGUAAUGUGGCUUUUUUCUAAGACCAGGCAAAAAGCUUGGGAUUUGCCUUUACACACUUCAAAGCAAUGCUUUGCACACUCUUCUGUGCCUGUGCCCUGCACUACAUUGCCAUUUGCCUGGGUAGCUCACUUUGGAUUUAACACGGCUUUCUGAUGUGCCAGUUUUUGAGACACUAAAGCAUUGCUUAAACAUGUGCAUUGUCUACCACCACACCAGGCCCUGGUGUUAGCUAACAAUGUUAGUUCAAUUAAACAUCCCUCCCCAGUCUGGUCAAGGCAUGAGACCUGCUGACAACUGAUCUGCUGCUGUUAACAGUGCUUGAAAUGACACUGUGCAUCUCAGGUCAGUGCCAUGGACCUGCGUAACUCAGCUGUGAGUAAUGCUCACCAACAGCUGAUAAUUGAUCACUUACAAGCAUGUGACAUGUUAAUGAAGCCAAUAGUCCUCACUUACAUUGUUAGCGGAGAGAAUAUAAUCAUAGAACCAUUCAGGUUGGAAAAGACCUCUAAGAUCAUCUAGUCCAACCCUUUACCAAGUACUAAAGUCCACAACUAAACCAUGCUACUAAAUUCUACAUGUAUAUCUACACAUUUCUUGAAGACCUCCAGGGAUGGUGACUCAACCACUUCCCUGGGCAGCAACAGUUGG